rnacentral:rRNA from 1 species
GACAGAGGAUGCAAGCGUUAUCCGGAAUGAUUGGGCGUAAAGCGUCUGUAGGUGGCUUUUCAAGUCCGCCGUCAAAUCCCAGGGCUCAACCCUGGACAGGCGGUGGAAACUACCAAGCUGGAGUACGGUAGGGCAGAGGGAAUUUCCGGUGGAGCGGUGAAAGUGCAUUGAGAUCGGAAAGAACACCAACGGCGAAAGCAGCUCUAGCUGGGCCGACACUGACACUGAGAGACGAAAGCUAGGGAGCAAAUGGG